AAUGAAUUGCCUGAAAAAGGAUUAUCUUGAUAGGAUAAAUCAUGUAAUAAUAUUACAUUCAUUA
rnacentral:tRNA from 1 species